GACGUAGGGCGCGAGCGUUGUCCGGAUUUAUUGGGCGUAAAGAGCUCGUAGGCGGCUUGUUGCGUCGACUGUGAAAACCUGCGGCUCAACCGUGUGGUCUGCAGUCGAGUACGGGCAGGCUGGAGUUCGGUAGGGGAGACUGGAAUUCCGGUGUAGCGGUGAAAGUGCGCAGAUAUCAGGAAGAACACCCGUGGCUAAGGCGGCUCGU
rnacentral:rRNA from 1 species